rnacentral:lncRNA from 1 species
AUUAUUAUUUAACCAAAUAAACUAAACUGUGUGAGUUAAUUCUAAUAAUUUAAAAAGUUUGAGUUGGAAAACAUAACAAAUUAAAGUUAGAGGACUAAAAUGUCACUCUGCUCAAAAUUUUAGGACUAAGAGUGCAAUUUAGGCCAAAGUGGGUGAAGUAUAGUGAAGAAGUGGAUUUGGUGAGGUCCAUGUUGGGUUCUGAGGGCGUCGGAACGAUUAGAAAAAGUAUCGAUAAAACUUGAAGAAAGUUAGGAGUAAAUAAAAAUUUUUCAAAAAAUGGUUGUACUUCAAAAUAUAAUUGUGUUUAUAUGAAAAAACUAUAAUUCUCUAAAGUUUGGCAGUGUUUCACAUAUGUAGAGGAGUUUUGGUUGUGUUGCAUUUGAUUUGGAGAGAAAACGGAAUGAAAAUCGGAGUUUUAGAGCGAAAAUGAGAAGAAAAUAGAAAGGCUGAAAACACUGUUCACAGUGUUAGGGUUCGGACCCUGUGGCAAGAUCCGGACAUUGACUGUGAAAAUGCUCGAAAUGAAGUACGGGUUCCGGACCUU